UUUCGCUGCGCAAGUUUCUUUCGUACAGCCGGCGGGUGAGGACAGUGGAUCUUUCUUUCUUUGUAUAGGAAAUAACUCGCGUGUGUGAAAGUAAAAUAGUUUACUACAGAUUAUAAUCUUGCCGCAAUUAGUGACUUUCAGAAUAACUUUAAUUUAGUUAUAAAAAUCGGCAAAUCAAAAAGCGAGAGAGCGGCCUGUAUAGACGCUUUUAUAGUAACAACAAAGGGAGAAUUUGGUAGUCCAAGUCUAGUGAGCUUUUCCUGCGAGGUUGCUUGUUUGAAGGAAGCUUUAAAUUAUCGAUUAGCAAGAUGGCAGACGAAGAUUUAUCGUUGAACGAAGAUCAACUGCUGGACAAUCUUGACGAGGCAAAUGGCGAGCACGAAGCGGAAC